AAUAAGAAAAAAAAAAAACACUUUUCCCAUAACACGGUGCAGUAUAAUGUAGACCUGAGCAAACAGCCCGCUCUGCUAGGGUUGAGGGGAAAUGUAAAAGCUUACAGCACCUGGUAUUCCCAGGCGGUCUCCCAUCCAAGUACUAACCAGGCCCGACUCUGCUUAGCUUCCGAGAUCAGACGAGAUCGGGCGUGCUCAGGGUGGUAUGGCCGUAAGCGAGAGCAGAGAGUGACAGGAGCUCUUUUAAGCUUGGCAAGCCACGCCGUUGCAUCCACUUGCCUGAAUGUGGCGUUUAUAAAGGACUUAGAACAUUUUGGGACGUACACAGAAGGUGGCCAUUUUGGCCUUAAACACAAUAUCCCCUUUUUUGUAUUUCGCUCUCCCUUUAAACAAAACAACUAGAGAGAAGCCAAAAUCAUUACUUGUAAUGUGUCACCGACCAUAGGCAUGAACUGUGAACAAAGCAAAAGCAGCACUGUGACUGAAAACAGAAAAUUCUUGCAGGUAAUAGCGUCUGUUGUCUAAGAACGAUGCAAUUAUUGAGUUAACAAAUAAUUGAACAAUCUAGGUGAAAUGUCAAAUACAUAAAACAGAAGUAAAAAAAAAAAAUAGAUAUUAAUUGCAGAAGAUAGGUCAUAAAUCAUAUAAUAACUGCAUAGAAUAAGAAAGAAAAAACUUUUCCCAUAACACGGUGCAGUAUAAUGUGGACCUGAGCAAACAGCCCGCUCUGCUAGGGUUGAGGAGAAAUGUAAAAGCUUACAGCACCUGGUAUUCCCAGGCGGUCUCCCAUCCAAGUACUAACCAGGCCCGACCCUGCUUAGCUUCCGAGAUCAGACGAGAUCGGGCGUGCUCAGGGUGGUAUGGCCGUAAGCGAGAGCAGAGAGUGACAGGAGCUCUUUUAAGCUUGGCAAGCCACGCCGUUGCAUCCACUUGCCUGAAUGUGGCGUUUAUAAAGGACUUAGAACAUUUUGGGACGUACACAGAAGGUGGCCAUUUUGGCCUUAAACACAAUAUCCCCUUUUUUGUAUUUCGCUGUCCCUUUAAACAAAACAACUAGAAAGAAGCCAAAAUCAUUACUUGUAAUGUGUCACCGACCAUAGGCAUGAACUGUGAACAAAGCAAAAGGCAGCACUGUGACUGAAAACAGAAAAUUCUUGCAGGUAAUAGCGUCUGUUGUCUAAGAACGAUGCAAUUAUUGAGUUAACAAAUAAUUGAACAAUCUAGGUGAAAUGUCAAAUACAUAAAACAGAAGUAAUAAAAACAAUAGAUAUUAAUUGCA
rnacentral:lncRNA from 1 species